AAGAUGGCGCCGUCCACACCGCUGUUGACAGUCAGAGGAUCAGAAGGACUGUACAUGGUGAAUGGACCCCCACACUUCACAGAGAGCACAGUGCUUCCAAGAGAACCUGGAAAAAAUUGCAAAGUCUAUACUUUUAGUAAGGAUGGGACAUUGUUUGCCUGGAGCAAUGGAGAAAAAGUGAAUAUAAUCAAUGUCGCUAACAAGGGACUACUGCACUCCUUUGACCUCCCAAAAGCAGUUUGCCUUGAAUUUUCACCAAACAACACUGUCCUGGCAACGUGGCAGCCUUACACUACUUCUAAAGAUGGUACAGCUGGGACCCCUAACCUACAACUUUAUGACGUGAAGACUGGAACAUGUUUAAAAUCUUUCAUACAGAAAAAAAUGCAGAAUUGGUGUCCUUCCUGGUCAGAUGAUGAAAUUAUUUGUGCCCGGAAUGUUAACAAUGAAGUUCACUUCUUUGAGAACAACAAUUUUAACACAAUUGCAAAUAAAUUACAUUUGCAAAAAGUUAAUGACUUUAAUUUAUCACCUGGAACCCAACCUUUUAAGGUCGCAGUUUAUGUCCCUGGAAGUAAAGGUGCACCUUCAUUUGUUAGAUUAUAUCAGUACCCCAACUUUGCUGGACCCCAAGCCGCACUGGCCAAUAAAAGCUUCUUUAAAGCCGAUAAGGUUACGAUGCUGUGGAAUAAAAAAGCUACUGCUGUGCUGGUAAUAGCCAGUACAGAUGUUGACAAGACAGGCGCUUCCUACUAUGGGGAACAAACACUGCACUACAUUGCGACAAAUGGAGAAAGUGCUGUAGUACAAUUACCCAAAAAUGGCCCAAUUUAUGAUGUAGCUUGGAAUCCUAGUUCUACGGAGUUUUGUGCUGUUUAUGGUU
rnacentral:lncRNA from 1 species